UACGUAGGGGGCAAGCGUUGUCCGGAUUUAUUGGGCGUAAAGCGUGCGCAGGCGGUUUUGUAAGCCGGAUGUGAAAUCCCCGGGCUUAACCUGGGAAUGGCAUUCGGGACUGCAAGGCUGGAGUGCGGCAGAGGAGACUGGAAUUCCUGGUGUAGCAGUGAAAUGCGUAGAUAUCAGGAGGAACACCGAUGGCGAAGGCAGGUCUCUGGGCUGACACUGACGCUCAUGCACGAAAGCGUGGGGAGCAAACAGG
rnacentral:rRNA from 1 species